UACGUAGGGUGCGAGCGUUAAUCGGAAUACUGGGCGUAAAGCGUGCGCAGGCGGUGAUGUAAGACAGAUGUGAAAUCCCCGGGCUCAACCUGGGAACUGCAUUUGUGACUGCAUCGCUGGAGUACGGCAGAGGGGGAUGGAAUUCCGCGUGUAGCAGUGAAAUGCGUAGAUAUGCGGAGGAACACCGAUGGCGAAGGCAAUCCCCUGGGCCUGUACUGACGCUCAUGCACGAAAGCGUGGGGAGCAAACAGG
rnacentral:rRNA from 1 species